UUACUUAAAUGGAAUUGAAUGGGAUGUUUAGGCGCUAAUUUUAUAACUUUACAUAACAUUACUGACCCCUGUGAGUUCCCCAAAUGUUGGAAUUUCUGUUGCAUAAUUUAUGGUAGUGGGGGAUCCAUUUGUGCUCCCCCUG
rnacentral:snRNA from 1 species